AAUGAUAAAAGCAGUUUAUAUGAGUUCUGUUUCAAUCAUUUCAGGACCACAAGAGUACAAUAAAAGCAAUUUACACGGGUUCUGAAUUUCUGGAGAGUGUUUUUGCUGGUGUUGAAGUUGGCUCGAUGCUUAUUUGUUUCGUCGAUUUCAGUUAUUCAGGAUUCACUCCACGAACAUAAACAACGGGUGGACUUGCCAAAAAGUACUUUUCCUUCGGAUAAAGAGAGAAG